rnacentral:rRNA from 1 species
UACGGGGGGGGCAAGCGUUGUUCGGAAUUACUGGGCGUAAAGGGCGCGUAGGCGGCCAGUUGCGUCUGCUGUGAAAUCCCGGGGCUCAACCCCGGGCUUGCAGUGGAUACGGGCUGGCUGGAGGCAGGCAGGGGAGAACGGAAUUCCCGGUGUAGCGGUGAAAUGCGCAGAUAUCGGGAGGAACACCGGUGGCGAAGGCGGUUCUCUGGGCCUGUACUGACGCUGAGGAGCGAAAGCGUGGGGAGCGAACAGG